rnacentral:tRNA from 1 species
GAGGGUACAACUCAGUGGUGGAGUGUGUGCUUAGCAUGCAUGAGGUCCUGGGUUCAAACCCCAGUACCUCCA